rnacentral:misc_RNA from 1 species
GAUGAAGAACGUAGCGAAACGCGAUAGGUAAUGUGAAUUGCAGAAUUCAGUGAAUCAUCGAAUCUUUGAACGCACAUUGCGCCCCCUGGUAUUCCGGGGGGCAUGCCUGUCCGAGCGUCAUUACAACCCUCAAGCUCAGCUUGGUGUUGGGCCCCGCCGCCCCGGCGGGCCCUAAAGUCAGUGGCGGUGCCGUCCGGCUCCGAGCGUAGUAAUUCUUCUCGCUCUGGAGGUCCGGUCGUGUGCUCGCCAGCAACCCCCAAUUUUUUUCAGGUUGACCUCGGAUCAGGUAGGGAUACCCGCUGAACUUAAGCAUAUCAAUAAGCGGAGGA